UUUUUUUUUUUAGAGAGCGUAAGCAACACAUGCAAGUGGGGAAGAGUAGUGGGGAGAGGAGUAAAGGGAGAGAAAGAAUCAUAAGCAGGCUCCACGCUGGGACCUGUGGCUGGAUCUCACAACCCCGAGAUCAUGACCUGAGCUGAAAUCAAGAGUCGGACACUCAACUGAAUGAGCAUCUCAAAGCUCUUUCUUUUCAUGAUUAUAUUAAAAUUUUAUAGUUGUCACAAUAGAACAAAAAACCUUCCUUUAAAAAUAGUUUUCAAGAAGUCAGUACCUAAAAUAUCAUGUUCACUUUCUUGGUAGAAUAAUACCUUUUGGUAAAUUACAAGUCCAUUUCAGUAGAAAUGUUUUAAAUAUUCAAUAUAAUUGAAUAUGUUUCAAUUUCUGUGUCAAAUUAUUGCAUGGAAAUAACUGUUAAUAAUCAUCACAAUUAUCAUGCUUCAUGUUUUCUGAGUGUAUUUAAUUUAUAAAUUAUAUAUGUUUAUACAUUUUUAUUUUAUAAUCCUUUAUGACAAACCUAUGAGGUAAAUAUUAUGUCUAUUUUAGAGUUGGGAAAGAGACUCAGAAAUUUAAAUGACUUGAACAUCUGACACGUAGUUAAGUAUAUGAAUAAAUUGAGAUUUGCAAAUCCAAAGUGAAUACCCUCAAAACCCUAUCUGAUCACUUGUGGUGUCAUGUGGAAUGUGUGGGCUAUGGGCAGAGGAGUCUGAAUUUGCAUCAGUAAGAAUUGAGCAAUGAGUAUGUAUGUAUUCAAAAUACCUUUCAUUGUUCAAAGACCACAGAUGAAGUUUUGAAAAAUAAACCCAACUUAAUGCAAUGUAUACCUUUACUGUUAACAUAUAGAAUGAAAUACAGAUUAUUGUUGAUCAAAAAAACUGUGUCCAUUUCCUUCUUGUUCAAUAAAUGUGUAUCAACUACACAUGUGAAACCACGUGACGAUCUUAGUUGAUCUGAACUGAAAUAUGAAAACCUUUCAUGACAAAAUAAAAAGGAAGACCAUGCAAAACACAGAUAGCAAUGGAAAUAGUUUUUAUAGGAGAACAGUCACAAAAAAAGAACCCAAAAAUACAUAAAAGAAGGUUUAUUUAAAAAAAGAAAAAAAACCCUGAUCAGUAAUGCAAGUGAUAGAUGAAAACAAUUAAAAUGUAUUACUCUUGUUGUAGGAAAAGUGUAUUAAAUAUUAAAAUUAUGGGCUCUCUAUAGUCAAGAAGUUCUUUUUAAAUAGUUGCACACAUUUUAUAUAUUUUUCAAAUUUUAAUUAUUAAUUUUUGAAAGCAAUGUAGAAUUUUGUUUCACUUUCAACCCAAACUGGAAGUGUCUUUUCUACCAAAAAAGGACCGGCUCUCAAAUAUUCUCCAUCACUAUAAUUUAAGCGGAAUCCAGAGAUGGCUGAGCAAGUCUCAGGGGCCCCACCUAUAGCAUAGAGAGAAGAAAAUGUGAUUUCCCAUCACAGAAAGUAGCAGCAAGCAUUUUGUAGGGUGUUGUAGAUGGAAGAAAAAUCUCCUCAGCAGUAUAUUUGACAAAAAUUAUGUGCUGAAACUAACCUUUGAACAGCUGCAAAACCAGAUACAGAACAUGUUUUGCAAGUGGACUGUGGGCUCUGAAACAAAGCAAAUCCAUCACUGCUGGCCUGGGACAGAAACUGCGGGAGACACACAAAAGAGAAUGAACAUAACCCACAUUCCUUCUAUAUCUUUAUAACUUCCCAUUUCAUGAUCAGAAACAAAAACACCUUGCCGGUUACAGCUGGAGAGGCGUAGUUAGACUCAGUGGGUUUGUUCUACUGUAAAAAUUUAUGACAGUUGUUUGAUGCCCAGAGUCUUGGUGGGGUCUCCUUUACAACUGAAGGGACUCAUCAGAUAUAUGCAAUAAAAGCUUGAAGAAAUACAUACGCCUUAUUAAGUCACACAUUGGUUGUAUGUAAAAACUCCUGCUCUUAUUGUUAGUUUUAGAGACUUCAUCCGAAUGGGAAGAAAUUGAGCUGAAUGCGUUUACAUAGCAUGAGACACUAUUUAAGGAGAGAGGAGAGGCAAACAUGAAACUGAAAUUUUCAUAACAAAGAAAAGAUAAAAGAAAAUAGUUACCCUUUGUUUAGUCUCUGUUAGAGAACAAAUACUCAUAAUUAAACUGUAACUGGAAUCAAAAUGUAGUUUGGGAUAAACAACCUAAAUGGCCUCCAAGAUAAAUUACAGUACUCAUUUCUCUAUUGUUAGUUUGUUCUCUCCAGUUUUCACCAGGAAGCAGGACUGUGGGGGUUCUGUACUUGUAUGUCACCACUGAGCAGGUUCUCUUAUGCCAGCAAGCUUAGCAACUUGUUUGAGUCUGGCCACUUGCUCACCAUCUGGAACUACUUCAUAUGCUCAUUACAAAAAAAAAAAAAAAAAAAAA
rnacentral:lncRNA from 1 species